GUUAAAAUUUUGAGACACUAAUUUCAGAUUUCUUUGCCUCGCAUACGAGUAGCACAAGUUUCUAAAUGCAACGCUUGUUUUCUUUAGGCAUAAAUAGAAUAUGACACAGUAGGAAGCUAAGGCUUCUGCGCUUAGAGGCUGAUGGCAACAAAAUUCGACACUGAAUCAAAAGCUUAUUGUUAGAUAUUGCACAUACAAACAGCGUGUAUGAAAAUUUUCUAUUUUAAAUUCAAGUGGACGUGCUGUCAAAAGCUCACAAAAAUAGACAUUUCUGACAUCGCAAUUAAAAAAGCAAGCUUUUAUCAUCACUCGCCAGAAAUUGUGACAAACUUGGAAUAUUGAGAAUCAGCAUGGCUUCUGGACAUACAGAGAAUAGGUGAAGCCUUCGGCACACUGAACGGAGGCCAUGGCCUGGGAUUUGCGUCAUACCUGCUAACCACCUGCAUCGUUGGCUUAGACAUGUACCAGCCCUGUGGUUUUACCAAGCUUCCGUAGCUUAUACUACUCAAUUACGACUCGUUCCACCAAAGUGAAAUUUAGUUGUACUAGUUGGCCUUUUAAGGGAGCUUGAAACAAUUUCAACGACUGUGCACAAAUGUGCCGAGUCAGUGGGGUAGGUACUUCAGAUUAUUUACUAAGAGACAGAUUAUGUGCUAUGCAUAAAUCGUGCAAUUUAUUACAAGGUUUUAAAAAUAUGCGCGGCUACCGAUCGCAGUGGUACUGCUGCCCUGAAUUUUCAACCACACCAUCCCAUGCUACGUAGUGAGUGAGCGUUGUCACUUGCGAAGCGAUCCAAUUGGCUACCCAUGUUACGUCAUUGGGAACGCUUGAAACAAGCCAAUGCAUUAAGCUUAUUAAAGCGAA
rnacentral:lncRNA from 1 species